GAGAGAGAGAAUGUGUGUGUGUAUGUAUGUAUGUAUGUGAAAGGGGAGAAAAGACAUCACAGAAAUGGAGGUCAUUUAAAGAGCGAAAAGGAAAAAAUAUCAUGCAUUAACGAUUCUCACCAGAAGAGGGCGGCAGAGUCGUAUUAAAUGGAUUAUGCCUCCAAACAAGGAUUAAUUUUUUGAAAGGUCGAUGGACGUGCAAGAGAAUUCAUUUUCUAUUACACGACUAACACGGAGAUGUAAAGGAGGCCUAUGCAUGCGACAUGUUGGCUAUUUGCUGAAAAAACGAUCAACUAUCCACAUUAUCUACAUUAUCAUUGACUUCCUAACGCUCCUCCUCUUACUUUGAUCACUGCAGUAUUAAAAUGUGGUCUCAGAUAGGAUUAGGUGUGAUUCUAUCUUUCCUCAUCUUGCUAACAGUGUGUGGAAAUGUGCUGGUGUGUUUGGCUGUCUGCGCAACCAGACGCCUACGCAGUGUCACCAACUGCUUCAUCGUGUCACUGGCAAUUACUGACCUACUCCUGGGAGUUCUGGUCCUUCCUUUCUCUACUCUCAUUGAGGUGACUGGGGAUUGGCCACUGGGAGCUCACUUCUGCAAUGUCUAUAUUUCAAUGGAUGUCAUGCUGAGCACUGCUUCUAUUCUUAAUCUUCUGGCUAUUAGCAUAGAUCGCUACAUUGCAGUCACAGUGCCUUUACGUUAUCCUACAUUGGUGCUGCCAUGGCACGUUGGUACAUCGUUAGCAGUCAUCUGGGUGGUGUCUAUCGGGGUCUCGUUUGUUCCUAUUCACCUCGGCUGGAAUACAGUGGACCAGACGGUGCAGAAUCAUGGUAAGGAUGACCCUGCGGAAGACUGUCGCUUCGAGCUAAAUCCAACUUAUGUACUAGUGGAUUCAGUUGCAACCUUUUAUCUUCCACUGGUGGCAAUGUGCUGGACUUAUUACCGAGUGUUCCGCAUUGCACGGGCCCAGGCAAAGCGAAUCCUUUCCAUACAUCGAGCAUGCUCUGCAACCACCAUGUCAUCGUUAUCAGGAGUGUCAAUGUUAGCACUACGUGAACACAAAGCUGCAGUCAGACUAGCAGUUGUGCUGGGCGCGUUUGUAGUUUGCUGGUUUCCUUAUUUUACAUUUUUUACCAUUAUGGGGAUACGAAAGGAGCCGGAUCUUCCACGCAUGGCAUAUUCGGUGGUGCUGUGGCUAGGCUAUGCUAACUCCACCCUUAACCCGUUCCUUUAUGCUGCACUCAACAGGGACUUUAGGUCUGCUUAUGGCAGGCUGUUGUUUGGCUGGAGGGGCAAUAACACACCAACAGGAACGCCCACUACUAUGCCAGAGGCUGGGUUGUUAAAUGAACUUACCCCUUCCAGCAGCAGGGCAGAAUUUAUACCUAAAGCCUAUGUCAUGCUACAGGAUAUGAGCAAAGGAAAUGAAGAUGAGACGAGUGGGACAUCGCUCAGCAUCGUCUCGGUCCUCUCCAAUGGCCAGAACAGGUAUUGGAGACAUAAAACUAAUGGACAACCAUUAGAAUAUACAGUACAGAGACCACUUUAUAAAUGUAUGUAAUGUUACUUAACAAAUACAUUGUUUAUUUGUUACAAGUGUCUGAUGUUCAAACAUCAUCUCUCUAUCCAUCUUUAUUUCUCUCUGUCAGAUCAUAAUACUUCGACAAAUCUGGACGCUUAUUAAAAAUUACCCUCAUCUAAGCUUUACCCAAGUUUCUAACCACCCUCCAGUUGUGACACAGUAGGAGUUGUCAACCACAAUCUGAUGAAACAUUUGGUCCUGUGAGAGCUUUGAGGAGAGAAAAGCUCUGAAGAAAAAUUGUGUAUUUAGUCUCACUAUACCAGUGGAAAUAAGAAUAAUGAAAAAGCAGGGGGGCUACUUGAAAAAAAGGUGCAUUUGACUGCAAAAAGACAAGGCCUGGGUAAUGGAGGCUGCAACGAUAAAGACUAAGAAGCUUACAGAAAGCGUUCUGUGAUACAGGGUUCCCUCUACAGGUCGGUAGAGGAACUACAACUAAAAUGUGAAUGCUGGAAAAAGACUAAAAGGAUUACACUGUCCACUAAUCUUGGGUGGAAAAUCUGUAGAGAAUUAACUUAAAAACUUUAAAACAAUGUAAAGAUAAGGAUAGUGUAAAUAUAACAUGCUGUAAAACAGUGAGCAGAAAAUAAGUAAUAUACAUUUUCAUUAACAGUGUUUGUUUAUUAUUGUAUUAGGUGGUUAUAUUUUCUCUUUUUUUUCUUUUUUCUUUUUUUUUUUUUUUUACAAAUGUAUUUGCACUGUGAAGAGAAAAGAUGUAAAACAACUAUUUAAUGAUUGAAUCAAAUGGCUCAAUUAUGUUUUUAUCAAACAUGUGAUCAGCUUACCAAAAAUAAAAAGGUUUUCUUAAAUAUUAAGGGUUUAUUUUUUUUAUUAUAACCACCCCAUUUGGUUGAGCAAAUGUAAAAUGUCUAAAACAUUCACAAGCACUGUAUUUACUGAAGAUUUAUUCAUCAUAUUUUAGAUUUUUAACAUACAGGCAUUAUUUGAUGGUGUGAGAUGUAAACUAAUCCUCUUUACUUUGGUUGAAUUUUAUAGCAGGCACUGAAUAAAAAUUCUCUUUCUGUCUUGCAUUUCUUAACAAUUCUCUUGCUUUUCAUCAAAAUAAAGCAAAAACUAAGACAGUUAAGCAUGUGUUAAACAGAAUUCAGAUGUGCAAGAAGUAUUCAUUUAACAUUUUGCAAGCUAACUAGCUAGCUGGAUUUUCUGCAUGGUUAGCAUGUGUGGUACAGUACUACAUUAGACACAUACAGGACAAAUACAAUUCAUCAGGCCACCAUUUUUUUCUGAAGAAUAUCCAGCAUAAGUGUUAGCUAUCGUUCCACUGGAAUGCUUGCAUUAUUGGUAUAGA